rnacentral:misc_RNA from 1 species
GUUAUUCUUCUUUUUUCAUAGGCCAGUGGUUGCAACAAGCUAACCACCACUAUAUGGUGUUGAACUAAGUUUGCUACUGAGAUUUGACCACUUGGCUUGAUCAAAACCUAAUCUCCCCUGCAUCAAACUAACGCCCUAGCUUCUCUUUCUAUAUUCCUAUAAAUAGAGCAUCACCCAGCUCCGCUCCUCCCCAGCUACAUCACCAGCUAAUCCAUCACUGACCCAAAAAGACUCUAGAGAUGGAGUUUUUCAGCCACAUUAUUUUAGGCCUUCUCGUACUCAUAGCUUCUGCAUUGUCCUCAGCCAAUGCAGACAAGACUCACUACCAUGAUUUUGUUAUUCAAUCAACUCCAGUGAAGAGGCUGUGCAAGACCCAGAAUGUGAUCACUGUAAAUGGGAUGUUCCCUGGACCAACUCUUGAAGUCAAUAAUGGAGACACUCUGGUGGUCUCUGUUGUCAACCGAGCUCAAUAUAAUGUCACGAUCCAUUGGCAUGGUGUAAGGCAAAUGAGGACUGGAUGGGCAGAUGGGCCAGAAUUUGUGACACAGUGCCCAAUUAGGCCUGGAGGGAAAUACACCUACAGGUUCACUAUUCAGGGACAAGAAGGGACACUUUGGUGGCAUGCUCAUAGCUCUUGGCUUCGAGCUACUGUUUAUGGAGCUCUAAUCAUUCAUCCAAGAGAAGGAUCUUCAUAUCCAUUCACUAAGCCAAAUCGUGAAACCCCAAUAAUUCUUGGUGAAUGGUGGAAUGCAAAUCCCAUUGAUGUUGUGAGGGAGGCAACUAGAACAGGAGGAACACCAAAUGUUUCUGAUGCGUAUACCAUUAAUGGUCAACCUGGUGAUCUUUACAAUUGCUCCAGCCAAGAUACAGUAAUUGUCCCUAUUGACUCUGGCGAGACCAACCUUCUCCGAGUCAUCAAUGCUGCAAUGAACCAACCUCUUUUCUUCACUGUUGCCAACCACAAGCUCACAGUUGUUGGUGCUGAUGCUUCCUACGUAAAACCCUUCACCACCACUGUCCUAAUGCUAGGACCUGGCCAAACCACCGAUGUUUUGAUCUCUGGCAACCAGCAAUCUGCUCGAUACUACUUGGCAGCACGAGCAUACCAAAGUGCGCAAAAUGCUCCAUUUGACAAUACCACAACUACUGCCAUUCUUGAAUACAAAUCUGCAACUUGUGCUGCCAAAAAUUGUUCAUCAAGCAAACCAAUUUUGCCACCUUUACCAGCUUAUAAUGACACAGCUACAGUCACUGCAUUCAGCAAUAGCUUCAGGAGUCCUAAUAAAGUCCUAGUCCCAACUGAUAUUGAUGAAAAUUUGUUCUUCACAGUCGGUUUAGGGCUCAACAACUGUCCACCCAAUUUUAACAGGUCCAGUCAGUGUCAAGGGCCCAAUGGAACGCGCUUCACAGCAAGCAUGAACAAUGUAUCCUUUCAACUCCCAUCCACUUUCUCUAUAUUGCAAGCUCAUCAAUCAAGAGUACCAGGAGUUUUUACCACUGAUUUCCCUGCUAAGCCACCUGUACAAUUCGAUUAUACGGGUAACGUGAGCCGAUCUCUCUGGCAACCAGUUCCUGGAACUAAGGUUUACAAGUUGAGGUAUGGUUCAAGGGUUCAGCUAGUGCUACAAGAUACAAGUAUUGUCACACCUGAGAAUCACCCAAUUCACCUUCAUGGAUAUGAUUUCUAUAUCAUUGCGGAAGGGUUUGGAAAUUUUAAUCCCCAGACUGAUACAUCUAAAUUUAACCUCGUCGACCCACCUCUCAGAAACACAGUUGCAGUACCUGCGAAUGGUUGGGCAGUCAUCAGAUUCGUGGCUGAUAACCCAGGUGUCUGGCUAAUGCACUGUCACCUGGAUGUUCAC